UCAGCCAAAAAUUUACCAUUUAAACAUUUUGUCAUUCUAACAACAAACAGAUAAUAGAAAGAAUAUAGGCCUGUAUUAAACUACUGAUUUCUUAUUUCUUCCAGGAAGGAAAAUGAAAGCCGGAAAUACUCCUGUUGAAAAACUUCCAAUUUAUGAGCCGAACAUCCCAGAGCCGACGUCCCGAGAGGAGCUGCUCAAAUACUGGCUCAAUAUCUCAUUGGACGAACGAACUGCCAAUAAAGUGCUGUGGCUGACCGAGGGCGGGGCUAAAGUGUCCCGCAUGACAGAUGAGGUGUGUCCUUACCUGGACAGGCCAGAGAGAU